rnacentral:rRNA from 1 species
GACGAACGCUGGCGGCGUGCCUAAUACAUGCAAGUAGAACGCUGAAGAGAGGAGCUUGCUCUUCUUGGAUGAGUUGCGAACGGGUGAGUAACGCGUAGGUAACCUGCCUGGUAGCGGGGGAUAACUAUUGGAAACGAUAGCUAAUACCGCAUGACAUUGAUUAUCGCAUGAUAAUUGAUUGAAAGAUGCAAUUGCAUCACUACCAGAUGGACCUGCGUUGUAUUAGCUAGUUGGUGAGGUAACGGCUCACCAAGGCGACGAUACAUAGCCGACCUGAGAGGGUGAUCGGCCACACUGGGACUGAGACACGGCCCAGACUCCUACGGGAGGCAGCAGUAGGGAAUCUUCGGCAAUGGGGGGAACCCUGACCGAGCAACGCCGCGUGAGUGAAGAAGGUUUUCGGAUCGUAAAGCUCUGUUGUAAGAGAAGAACGGGUGUGAGAGUGGAAAGUUCACACUGUGACGUAUCUACCAGAA